rnacentral:rRNA from 1 species
CUACGGGCCGCUGCAGUCGAGAAUCUUCCGCAAUGGACGAAAGUCUGACGGAGCGACGCCGCGUGCGGGAUGAAGGCCUUCGGGUUGUAAACCGCUGUCAGUGGGGAGGAAAUGCAUCAGGGUUCUCCCUGGUGUUUGACCGAUCCGCAGAGGAAGCGCAGGCUAAGUUCGUGCCAGCAGCCGCGGUAACACGAACUGCGCGAACGUUAUUCGGAAUCACUGGGCUGUAAAGAGUUCGUAGGCGGCCUUUCAAGUCGGGUGUGAAAUCCCUCGGCUCAACCGAGGAAUGGCGCCUGAUACUGUUGGGCUUGAGGGGGAUAGGGGUGAGCGGAACUGAUGGUGGAGCGGUGAAAUGCGUUGAUAUCAUCAGGAACACCGGUGGCGAAGGCGGCUCACUGGAUCUCUUCUGACGCUGAGGAACGAAAGCUAGGGGAGCGAACGGGAUUAGAUACCCUCGUAGUC